rnacentral:ncRNA from 3 species
AUCAGGUAGGAGUACCCGCUGAACUUAA